rnacentral:rRNA from 1 species
CACGUAGGGCGCAAGCGUUGUCCGGAAUUAUUGGGCGUAAAGAGCUCGUAGGCGGUCUGUUGCGUCCGCUGUGAAAACCCGGGGCUUAACCCUGGGCUGGCAGUGGAUACGGACAGACUAGAGGUAGGUAGGGGAGAAUGGAAUUCCUGGUGUAGCGGUGAAAUGCGCAGAUAUCAGGAGGAACACCGGUGGCGAAGGCGGGACUCUGGGCCGAUACUGACGCUGAGGAGCGAAAGCGUGGGGAGCAAACAGG